GUGCUCACUUCAACAGCACAUAUACUAAAAUUGAAACGAUACAGAGAUGAUUAGCAUGGCCCCUGCACAAGGAUGACAUGAAAAUUCAUGAAGUACUCCAUAUUUUU
ensembl:snRNA U6 U6 spliceosomal RNA